rnacentral:rRNA from 1 species
GACGAACGCUGGCGGUGUGCUUAACACAUGCGAGUGGUGCGACGAACCAGAGCUUGCUCUGGGGCAAAGCCGCGAACGGGUGAGUAACACGUGGGUAAUCUACCCCGAUGACCGGGACAACCCGAGGAAACUCGAGCUAAUACCGGAUGUGGUGCGGAGACAUAAGUCUCUUCACUAAAGGUAGCUUCGGCUUCCGCAUUGGGAGGGGCCCGCGGCCCAUUAGGUUGUUGGUGGGGUCAAGGCCUACCAAGGCAACGAUGGGUAGCUGGUCUGAGAGGACGAUCAGCCACACUGGGACUGAGACACGGCCCAGACUCCUACGGGAGGCAGCAGUGGGGAAUCUUGCGCAAUGCGCGAAAGCGUGACGCAGCAACACCGCGUGAGGGAAGAAGGCCUUAGGGUUGUAAACCUCUUUCAGAUGGGACGAAGGUUCUCCGGUGAAUAGCCGAGAGGAUUGACGGUACCGUCAGAAGAAGCUCCGGCUAACUACGUG